UACAGAGGUCUCAAGCGUUUGUUCGGAUUCAUUGGGCGUAAAGGGUGCGUAGGCGGCGCGGUAAGUCGGGUGUGAAAUCUUGGAGCUUAACUCCGUAAACUGCAUUCGAUACUGCCGUGCUUGAGGACUGGAGAGGAGACUGGAAUUUACGGUGUAGCGGUGAAAUGCGUAGAUAUCGUAAGGAAGACCAGUGGCGAAGGCGGGUCUCUGGACAGUUCCUGACGCUGAGGCACGAAGGCCAGGGGAGCAAACGGGAUUAG
rnacentral:rRNA from 1 species